rnacentral:lncRNA from 1 species
AUGCUAUUCGCUACUUGGAACACCCGCUCUUGGAGCCAGGACUGGUCCUUACUUUUGACUGCCUCCAUUCGCGCCGCUGUGGUGCCAUAUCAGCGCGACAUACUUCAGAAUUUGAAAAAUCAAUGCAAGGUUCGGAGCCAGUGGACUCCUCGAAGAAGUCUACCGGUUGAUGCAUUUCAGUUAGCAACUAUAUUAUGCCCAGAUACCAACGUUGCAAAGAUACGAUUUGACUGUUCAACUAAUCAUGACUCGAUCUCUCCUCUUAUAAAUCUAAAAAAACUAAAAGAAUUGAGUUUGGCACGAGUCACUGAUGGCGAGCGCUGUUUACUAGAUUUUACAGACAUAACCUUACUCCUUCAGAAGCAUGGAAAGCAUCUCAUAAUGUUGGAGCUGAAAGUGAUUGAAGAAGUUGAUACUCAUGUGAUACUUGAAGCCUGUUCACGUUUGGAAGUGCUAAUUCUGAGCGGUUGCAGCUACAGAUUCCCGGAGCCAACUUGCGAAACCUCUUGUUUAACAUUAGAUUCCUCUUCGGAAUUUUUAACCAGACUACAAUAUUUCUUCUAUGCGGAUGGAGAUGACUUCAGCUCUGACCAUAGCUUGCCCCAAUGUUUUUGGAAAAGCCUCCUUACUCCAGACAGAUCGUGUAAAAAUGGACGGAAAAAACUACGAGGCCUAUUUCUCGAAGCCCCGCGCAUUUCGGAACUCACCGCCGGGGAAAUUUUCCAAUCGGAUCAUAUUUUACCGGACUUGCAAGUGCUCAGCAUCUGUCGCUACUCAGAAUUGCUCUUUGAGCAACUUGUUUCGCUUAUGAGUCCAGAAUUGGUGUAUUUGAAAAUAGGGCAGUGCGAUCAGUUUUCUACCGCGCAGAUCAAAAGAUUGAAAACUAUAAUUCCCAGCAAAAAUAUUUCAUUUUUCUACGAGAAGUAA